GUACGCUGGCGGCACGCCUAACACAUGCAAGUCGAACGAAGUAGCAAUACUUAGUGGCAGACGGGUGAGUAACAUGUGGGUAUCUACCCUUUGGCCUGGAAUAACACGAGGAAACUUGUGCUAAUACCGGAUAAGUCUUUACGGAGAAAGCUUUAUGCACCAUUGGAUGAGCCCGCACUUGAUUAGUUUGUUGGUAGGGUAAUGGCCUACCAAGACUAUGAUCAAUAGCUGAUUUGAGAGGAUGAUCAGCCACAUUGGGACUGAGACACGGCCCAAACUCCUACGGGAGGCAGCAGUGGGGAAUCUUGCACAAUGGAGGAAACUCUGAUGCAGCGAUGCCGCGUGAGUGAAGAAGGCCUUUGGGUUGUAAAGCUCUUUCGUCGGGGAAGAAAAUGACUGUACCCGAAUAAGAAGGUCCGGCUAACUUCAUGCCAGCAGCCGCGGUAAUACGAAGGGACCUAGCGUAGUUCGGAAUUACUGGGCUUAAAGAGUUCGUAGGUGGUUGAAAAAGUUGGUGGUGAAAUCCCAGAGCUUAACUCUGGAACUGCCAUCAAAACUUUUCAGCUAGAGUAUGAUAGAGGAAAGCAGAAUUUCUAGUGUAGAGGUGAAAUUCGUAGAUAUUAGAAAGAACACCAAUUGCGAAGGCAGCUUUCUGGAUCAUUACUGACACUGAGGUGCGAAAGCAUGGGUAGCGAAGAGGAUUAGAUACCCUCGUAGUCCAUGCUGUAAACGAUGUGUGCUAGAUGUUGGGAAUUUUUAUUCUCAGUGUCGCAGCAAAAGCGUUAAGCACACCGCCUGGGGAGUACGACCGCAAGGUUAAAACUCAAAUGAAAUUGACGGGGACCGCCACAAGUAGUGGAGCAUGUGGUUUA
rnacentral:rRNA from 1 species